CCUACGGGCGGCAGCAGUGAGGAAUAUUGGUCAAUGGGCGGAAGCCUGAACCAGCCAAGUAGCGUGCAGGAUGACGGCCCUACGGGUUGUAAACUGCUUUUAUACGGGAAUAACGUGCCUUACGUGUAGGGUUUUGCAUGUACCGUAUGAAUAAGGACCGGCUAAUUCCGUGCCAGCAGCCGCGGUAAUACGGAAGGUCCGGGCGUUAUCCGGAUUUAUUGGGUUUAAAGGGAGCGUAGGCCGCAUGUCAAGCGUGCUGUGAAAUGUCCGGGCUCAACCCGGGCCUUGCAGCGCGAACUGGCGUGCUUGAGUCCGCGGAAAGCAGGCGGAAUUCGUCGUGUAGCGGUGAAAUGCUUAGAUAUGACGAAGAACCCCGAUUGCGAAGGCAGCUUGCUGCAGCGGAACUGACGCUGAUGCUCGAAAGCGCGGGUAUCGAACAGGAUUAGAUACCCUUGUAGUC
rnacentral:rRNA from 1 species